rnacentral:SRP_RNA from 1 species
GCCAGGCAUGGUGGCUCAUGCCUGUAAUCCUAGCACUUUGGGAGGCCGAGGUGGGCGGAUCACCUGAGGUCAGGAGUUCAAGACCAGCCUGGCCAACAUGGUGAAACCCCAUCUCUA